GACGAACGCUGGCGGCGUGCCUAAUACAUGCAAGUAGAACGCAGUUGCGAACGGGUGAGUAACGCGUAGGUAACUGCCUCAUAGCGGGGGAUAACUAUUUGAAACGAUAGCUAAUACCGCAUACUGUGAGAUGGACCUGCGUUGUAUUAGCUAGUUGGUGAGGUAAAGGCUCACCAAGGCGACGAUACAUAGCCGACCUGAGAGGGUGGUCGGCCACACUGGGAAUGGUGAAUGGGCCAGAAUCCUAAGGGGGGGAACAGUUGGGAAUCUUUGGACAUGGGCGGAAGUCCGACCGAGGACAGGCGCGUGAGUUAAGAAAGUUUUUGGAUCGUAAAACUCCGUUGUUCGAGAAGCGUUACCUACCCAGAAAGGGACGGCUAACUACGUGCCAGCCGCCGCGGUAAUUC
rnacentral:rRNA from 1 species